rnacentral:tRNA from 1 species
GCUCCCAUCGUCUAGCGGUCAGGACGCUGCCCUCUCAAGGCAGAAACCCGGGUUCAAUUCCCGGUGGGAGCGCCA